UAUUUUUUUGAGGUAUCUCUGCAUCCUAUAGGACUAUACGCGAAAUGAGGUUCAUACAUAUCGAAAACUAAUUUAUGAUCAUAUGGUAGGAAUCACAUUGCCAGAAAAUGGUGCAUAUAGUGUAGUAAUGCAUUAACAUUUUGCAACCAACAAUAUUUAAGACUUAAUUUAGAGCAGCCAAUCAUUUGUGGUAUAAAUGAUGUCAUGAUGACAUCAUUGCGAAAUGACAUUUUUACAGUAUAAAAAGUUAGUAUUAUCUUACUGGGGCGAAGACGGCGCGCGCAUGUUAUACAUCGACCCUUUGAUGCUUUUCAUUGCCACUUGCAACCAGCAGGAGUCCAGAAAGUUGAAAGCUCAGCCUUUGAAGUUUGAUGUGAUUAAGGCAUCGCAUUUCUACGUUUCUUUUAACUAUUCAUGCUUAAGAUGGCCCAAUUUUUUUUUCAAUAGCUGCACCAUUAUCAUAUUCACGCAGACUGAGCUGGCUUUGUGUGACAGCGCUCUUAAAAAAAGAAGUGACUCCUUUUAUGUGACCAUAAUCCUGUGAAUAUAUAGACCCUGCUGCAAUUGUGUUAUUACCUACCAAAGGUGACUAAUGAGCAUGAGCAUCAUAAAGCUCAGACACCACAUUCUGGUCCCCACCCGGGAGGUCUGGCCCUUCCAGUGACCCCAGUGUACCCCGUCAGACUAAACAAUGAUGCUGGGUCAUCUCCUCACGGACCAAGACAGAUGGCCGGCUCCUCUCGGCGGUCGCCACCAUGGCCAAGGUCACCUCCCCUGCUUUCGGUGCACCUGCACCCCAACACUCUCAUCAUCAUAAUCUCAAUUCCUGCAACGACUAUCACACGCCACUGCACAAAGCCUUCCGCCAGCUCAUCCCCUCCAGUGUCAACAGAGUGUACUGGUGUAUGUCACACCACGUUGAAGAUCACAACUUACCUGGAAAAAAAGGACACCUGUAGUACAACAGUGCAAAUAAAAUUUUAAAAAACUGUUUAAAG